UACGUAGGGUGCGAGCGUUGUCCGGAAUUAUUGGGCGUAAAGGGUGCGUAGGCGGUUUGGUAAGUCUUAUGUGAAAUCUACAGGCUCAACUUGUAGUCUGCAUGAGAAACUGCCGGGCUGAGUGUGGGAGAGGUGAGUGGAAUUCCUGGUGUAGCGGUGAAAUGCGUAGAUAUCAGGAGGAACACCUGUGGCGAAAGCGGCUCACUGGACCAUAACUGACGCUGAUGCACGAAAGCUAGGGGGAGCAAACAGG
rnacentral:rRNA from 1 species